rnacentral:rRNA from 1 species
GAUGACCAGCCACACUGGAAUUGAGACACGGUCCAGACUCUUACGGGAGGCAGCCAGUGGGGAAUAUUGCACAAUGGGCGCAAGCCUGAUGCAGCCAUGCCGCGUGUAUGAAGAAGGCCUUCGGGUUGUAAAGUACUUUCAGCGGGGAGGAAGGCGAUGUGGUUAAUAACCGCAUUGAUUGACGUUACCCGCAGAAGAAGCACCGGCUAACUCCGUGCCAGCAGCCGCGGUAAUACGGAGGGUGCAAGGGUUAAUCGGAAUUACUGGGCGUAAAGCGCACGCAGGCGGUCUGUUAAGUCAGAUGUGAAAUCCCCGGGCUUAACCUGGGAACUGCAUUUGAAACUGGCAGGCUUGAGUCUCGUAGAGGGGGGUAGAAUUCCAGGUGUAGCGGUGAAAUGCGUAGAGAUCUGGAGGAAUACCGGUGGCGAAGGCGGCCCCCUGGACGAAGACUGACGCUCAGGUGCGAAAGCGUGGGGAGCAAACAGGAUUAGAUACCCUGGUAGUCCACGCCGUAAACGAUGUCGACUUGGAGGUUGUUCCCUUGAGGAGUGGCUUCCUGAGCUAACG